UACGUAGGGUGCGAGCGUUGUCCGGAAUUAUUGGGCGUAAAGAGCUCGUAGGCGGUUCGUCGCGUCGGCUGUGAAAUCCCGAGGCUCAACCUCGGGUCUGCAGUCGAUACGGGCGGACUGGAGUUCGGCAGGGGAGACUGGAAUUCCUGGUGUAGCGGUGAAAUGCGCAGAUAUCGGGAGGAACACCGGUGGCGAAGGCGGCCUGCUGGGCAGUUGCUGGACACUGAGGCGCGACAGCGUGGGGAGCAA
rnacentral:rRNA from 1 species